AUUUAAAUAGUUUAAACAAAACAUUGAUCUGUGGAGCCAAAAAUGUAAUACUUUACUUUAAAUU
rnacentral:tRNA from 1 species